rnacentral:sRNA from 1 species
AGGCCAUAAGCAAAGGCUAAGAUUAACCGCAACGUCCUGCUGCAACGCAUUUGUGACCCACAUCCUGUAGG